GUAGGUGGCAAGCGUUGUCCGGAAUUAUUGGGCGUAAAGCGCGCGCAGGCGGUUCUUUAAGUCUGAUGUGAAAGCCCACGGCUCAACCGUGGAGGGUCAUUGGAAACUGGAGAACUUGAGUACAGAAGAGGAAAGCGGAAUUCCACGUGUAGCGGUGAAAUGCGUAGAGAUGUGGAGGAACACCAGUGGCGAAGGCGGCUUUCUGGUCUGUAGCUGACGCUGAGGCGCGAAAGCGUGGGGAGCAAACAGGAAUAGAUACCCUGGUAGUCCACGCCGUAAACGAUGAGUGCUAAGUGUUAGGGGGGUUUUCCGCCCCCCUUAGUGCUGCAGCUAACGCAUUAAGCACUCCGCCUGGGAGUACGGCCGCAAGGCUG
rnacentral:rRNA from 1 species